rnacentral:rRNA from 1 species
GAUGAACGCUGGCGGCGUGCCUAAUACAUGCAAGUCGAGCGAACAGACGAGGAGCUUGCUCCUCUGACGUUAGCGGCGGACGGGUGAGUAACACGUGGAUAACCUACCUAUAAGACUGGGAUAACUUCGGGAAACCGGAGCUAAUACCGGAUAAUAUAUUGAACCGCAUGGUUCAAUAGUGAAAGACGGUUUUGCUGUCACUUAUAGAUGGAUCCGCGCCGCAUUAGCUAGUUGGUAAGGUAACGGCUUACCAAGGCGACGAGGCGUAGCCGACCUGAGAGGGUGAUCGGCCACACUGGAACUGAGACACGGUCCAGACUCCUACGGGAGGCAGCAGUAGGGAAUCUUCCGCAAUGGGCGAAAGCCUGACGGAGCAACGCCGCGUGAGUGAUGAAGGUCUUCGGAUCGUAAAACUCUGUUAUGAGGGAAGAACAAAUGUGUAAGUAACUAUGCACGUCUUGACGGUACCUAAUCAGAAAGCCACGGCUAACUACGUG